UUCCCUAUCCAGAAGGUGGAGGGGCGGUCGCGGGCGAUGAGUUCUGGGCGCUUCAGGCCCCGACGUCCCAGGCCCGGGCGCGUAGCGACAAACCCGCUCCCCGAGGGCCGGGCGCGCCCUCGAAGCUCGCAGCCGCCGCCCCGGGUCCCGCCCCGGGUCCCCGCCCCGGGUCCCCGCCCCGGGUCCCCGCCGGCCGGAGGCCCCACCUCCCGCCCACGAGGAAGUGGCUGCGGCGCCGCGCGGGGCAGAGCCGGCUCGGCGCGUCGACUGCCCAGAGUCCGCGGCCGGGGCGCCCCGAGGCAGGCCGUCUGCAUCUGGGGGAGCGGCCACUUCAAUCGGCUUUGAGCAGAGGGCAAGGGCGGCGGCCGAGAGAGCUGCGUGGAGCCUGCGGCAGAGCCCUGCCGGCUGCCGGGCCGAGGAGGAGCCGGCCUGCGUGUCACGCUGGCGAGGCCACAGCUGGUGCUGCGACAGGCAGGAAUGGGUGCUGCCGCCUUCUGCACACCCGCGGCGGGCCAGGCACCGUGUGCCAGCACCCGUGUACCUGUCUGCCUGGUCCUCUCAAUGACCCGGGGGGCAAGAUCCCUGCCCCCAUUGUGCAGAUGGGGAAACUGAGGCUCAGGGAAGGGGAAGGCCAUGCCUGGGGUCACGCAGCUGGUGGGCAAUGCUGCUGGCUCAGGCCCAGGUCUGGGCGGCUCAGAAGCCUGGAGCUUGUCGCCGUGUCGGGGAGGUGGCGAUUGCGCCGGGUCUGUUUGGGGAGGAGGGGGCACUCGGGAGGCAGAACAGGGAGCAAAAAACCUGGAAGGUGAAACGUGGACAGACGGGACUGGAGGAGAGCCAGGAGACCUGCGGAGGCCGGGAGGCCGGGUAGCAGCUCCCCUCCUGGAGACGCAGGCCACUGCAGGGCCUUUUUAUUUUAUUUUAUUUAUUUUAUUUAUUCCCCCUCCCCCCCAGUUGUCUGCCCUCUGUGUCCAUUCGCUGUGUGUUCUGUGACCGCUUCUCUCCUUAUCAGAGGCACCAGGAAUCUGUGUUUCUUUUUGUUGUGUCAUCUUGUUGUGUCAGCUCUCCGUGCAUGCCGAGCCAUUCCUGGGCAGGCUGCACUUUCUUUCGCGCUGGGCGGCUCUCCUUACGGGGCGCACUCCUUGUGCGUGGGGCUCCCCUACGCGGGGACACCCCUGUGUGGCAGGGCACUCCUUGCACGCAUCAGCACUGCACAUGGGCCAGCUCCACACGGGUCAAGGAGGCCCAGGGUUUGAACUGCGGACCUCCCAUGUGGUAGACAGACGCCCUAACCACUGGGCCACGUCCACUUCCCUC
rnacentral:lncRNA from 1 species